GUGCACGCUGGCGGUCGGCCUCACACAUGCCAGUCGCACGGCAGCACAGUAAGAGCUUGCUCUUACGGGUGGCGAGUGGCGGACGGGUGAGGAAUACAUCGGAAUCUACUUUUUCGUGGGGGAUAACGUAGGGAAACUUACGCUAAUACCGCAUACGACCUACGGGUGAAAGCAGGGGAUCUUCGGACCUUGCGCGAUUGAAUGAGCCGAUGUCGGAUUAGCUAGUUGGCGGGGUAAAGGCCCACCAAGGCGACGAUCCGUAGCUGGUCUGAGAGGAUGAUCAGCCACACUGGAACUGAGACACGGUCCAGACUCCUACGGGAGGCAGCAGUGGGGAAUAUUGGACAAUGGGCGCAAGCCUGAUCCAGCCAUACCGCGUGGGUGAAGAAGGCCUUCGGGUUGUAAAGCCCUUUUGUUGGGAAAGAAAAGCAGCAGGUUAAUACCCCGCUGUUCUGACGGUACCCAAAGAAUAAGCACCGGCUAACUUCGUG
rnacentral:rRNA from 1 species